rnacentral:tRNA from 1 species
GCCGAGAUGGCGGAAUUGGUAUACGCGCUAGGUUCAGGGUCUAGUGGGCUUACGCCCGUGCGGGUUCGAGUCCCGCUCUCGGCA